CCUCAGCAGCUGCCUCCAGAGGUGAGAGUUGUCAGCUAACAGAUGGGAAACAGCUGGCUCCUUCCUGCCCCUCGUGGUCUCCCCAGCUUCUGAGCCCACACACAACUGCAAAAGCCACCGCACCCCCUUCCGACAGAGCGGGUCGAACUGAAAAUUAUUCCAGCUGCGUGUAUCUCCACAUUGCCUAGCAGAGCGCUGCUCCAGCCAAUCAGACACUCUCCAUCUGCAGUUCCUCCCAGCAACACACCACAUUUCUGCCUCCGAGCUUCAGAGAAUCUGGACCCAAGUGUGACCAAGUGUGACCGUGGCAAAGCCGUAUUCCGUCAGCUGGGGAAAGAAGAGAAGACACUGAAAGUUCACAGGUUCCACCAAAGAUUCUGCAGUAAGAACCCUGCUGAAGAGCAGAGCAGCCUGGGGGAAGGGAAGAGGGCCCUGCCUUGGUAAUCAGUCAUGGCUAUGGACAACCUGGGACUCACCAAGGGAGGAGGAGGAGGAGCUGCUCUUGACCAGCACUGGAGAUGCAGAGACCCAGUUUGCUCCGGGCCAGUGGGAGCAAGACUAACAGGACCAUGCACCAGAGUAGCUGGGGGCGAACUGCCUUCUGGCCAGCACCAGGGACAUCCUGACCAAUCGUCCAGACACCCAGCCGAAGAAGGGUCCGAGCUUGCCUGACCUCCAAGUUCGUUUCCCUUGCCUUCUCAGCCCCACCUCCAAAGCGCUCAGCUUUGGCCUUAUAAGGCUGGACACUACAUACAAGUGCCUAAGCGGCAAACAUCAUUGGAAUGUAUUCUUUUGUUCUCUGAAUCCUGUAUGCUCAGUAAAUCUGCAGUUCAGAAGGCGCCAGAGGCAUGAUUUUCCCUGGCUAUACUGAUGGCCGUUUCCGACCAUCACACUGCCUUCUCCAUUGUUAGGGUUGAAGUAAAUACCAAAUGCUACUCAACGGAGAAAGAAUUCUAGAAACCUAAGAGACAGAAACUAAUACUCACCCCUUCGUCCAUCAGAAAGAGCUGAGAACAGCUUCAUGCGAGAACACAUAGCUCUCUUGAAGACCCCUGGACGGAGCCUUGUCAUAACCUAUCACAAUGUAGACCAGCCUUCAGUGCAUUGUCUACCAAGUGUGAGGACCUAGGUUCA